CCUACGGGUGGCAGCAGUAGGGAAUAUUGCUCAAUGGGCGAAAGCCUGAAGCAGCAACGCCGCGUGGAUGAUGACGGCUUUAGGGUUUUAAACUCCUUUUUUUAGAGCAGCUUCUGACGGUACCUAUAGAAUAAGCACCGGCUAACUCCGUGCCAGCAGCCGCGGUAAUACGGGGGGUGCAAGCGUUACUCGGAAUCAUUGGGCGUAAAGGGUGCGUAGGCGGGGUUAUAAGUCUGAUGUUAAAUCCUGUAGGUUAACUACAGAACGGCAUUUGAAACUGGUUCUCUGGAUUGUGGGAGAGGUAGGGGGAAUGCGUGGUGUAGGGGUGAAAUGCGUAGAGAUCAAGAGGAACACUGAUGGCGAAGGCGACAUGCUGGACCAUUACUGACGCUGAGGAACGAAAGCGUGGGGAGCAAACAGGAUUAGAUACCCCAGUAGUC
rnacentral:rRNA from 1 species